rnacentral:tRNA from 1 species
GUCUCUAUAGCUCAGUGGUAGAGCAUGCGAUUGCAGUGGGUGCCGUCUGGUAGGUCUGUUCAUCGCGAGGCCAGGUGUUCAAACCACCUUGGAGACU